rnacentral:rRNA from 1 species
UGGCGGACGGGUGGGUAAUGUCUGGGAAACUGCCUGAUGGAGGGGGAUAACUACUGGAAACGGUAGCUAAUACCGCAUAACGUCGCAAGACCAAAGAGGGGGACCUUCGGGCCUCUUGCCAUCGGAUGUGCCCAGAUGGGAUUAGCUAGUAGGUGGGGUAACGGCUCACCUAGGCGACGAUCCCUAGCUGGUCUGAGAGGAUGACCAGCCACACUGGAACUGAGACACGGUCCAG